rnacentral:rRNA from 1 species
AACGAACGCUGGCGGCAUGCCUAACACAUGCAAGUCGAACGAGACCUUCGGGUCUAGUGGCGCACGGGUGCGUAACGCGUGGGAACCUGCCCUUAGGUUUGGAAUAACUCCCCGAAAGGGGUGCUAAUACCGGAUAAUGUCUUCGGACCAAAGAUUUAUCGCCUUUGGAUGGGCCCGCGUUGGAUUAGCUAGUUGGUAGGGUAAAAGCCUACCAAGGCGACGAUCCAUAGCUGGUCUGAGAGGAUGAUCAGCCACACUGGGACUGAGACACGGCCCAUACUCCUACGGGAGGCAGCAGUGGGGAAUAUUGGACAAUGGGCGAAAGCCUGAUCCAGCAAUGCCGCGUGAGUGAUGAAGGCCUUAGGGUUGUAAAGCUCUUUUACCCGGGAUGAUAAUGACAGUACCGGGAGAAUAAGCUCCGGCUAACUCCGUG